rnacentral:rRNA from 1 species
AGUGAACGCUGGCGGUAUGCCUAACACAUGCAAGUCGAACGACCGGACAGUAAGCGUUCGCUUUUACCGGUGGCGAGUGGCGGAUGGGUGACGCAUACAUCACCUUCUUCUAUUACUUGGGUGAUUACGUAAGGCCACUUACGCUAAUGCCUCAUAUGUCCAACGGCUUAAUUCAGUGGUGCAUCGCACCUUUCGCGAUCGUAUGAGCCGAUGUCGGAUUAGAUAGUUGGCUUGGUAAAGGCCCACCAAGGCGACGAUCCGUAGCUGGUCUGAGAGGAUGAUCAGCCACACUGGAACUGAGACACGGUCCAGACUCCUACGGGAGGCAGCAGUGGGGAAUAUUGGGCAAUGGGCGCAAGCCUGAUCCAGCCAUACCGCGUGAGUGAAGAAGGCCUUCGGGUUGUAAAGCCCUUUUGUUGGGAAAGAAAAGCAGUAGGAUAAAACCCCGCUGUUCUGACGGUACCUAAAGAGUAAGCACCGGCUAACUACGUG